rnacentral:rRNA from 1 species
AAAUUGUUGAAAGGGAAGCGCUUGUGACCAGACUUGCGCCGGGCGGCUCAUCAGGGGUUCUCCCCUGUGCACUCCGCCCGGCUCAGGCCAGCAUCGGUUCUCGUGGGGGGAUAAGAACGGUGGGAACGUGGCCCCCCUCCGGGGGGGUGUUAUAGCCCGCCGUACGAUACCCUCGCGGGGACCGAGGUUCGCGCUCCGCAAGGAUGCUGGCGUAAUGGUCAUCAGCGACCCGUCUUGAAACACGGACCAAGGAGUCGUCCAUUAGAGCGAGCGUUUGGGUGUAAAACCCGCACGCGUAAUGAAAGUGAACGCAGGUGAGAGCUUCGGCGCAUCAUCGACCGAUCCUGAUGUCUUCGGAUGGAUUUGAGUAAGAGUUUUAACGGACGGACCCGAAAGACAGUGAACUAUGCUUGUAUAGGGUGAAGCCAGAGGAAACUCUGGUGGAGGCUCGCAGCGGUUCUGACGUGCAAAUCGAU